rnacentral:rRNA from 1 species
UACAGAGACCCCGAGCAUUAUCCGGAUUUAUUGGGCGUAAAGAGUUCGUAGGCGGUUUUGUAAGUCAUUUGUUAAAUCCUCAGGCUUAACUUGGGGGCUGCAGGUGAUACUGCAAGGCUAGAGAGUGGGAGAGGCAAGCGGAAUGCCCGGUGUAGCGGUAAAAUGCGUUAAUAUCGGGUAGAACACCAAAGGCGAAGGCAGCUUGCUAGAACACUUCUGACGCUCAAGAACGAAAGCGUGGGUAGCGAAAGGG